UUGUUUGCUUUUACCAUUUAGGUCUCUUCUAGCUUUAGGCUUUUUUUUUUUUUUUUUUGAGAAAUAGGCUUUGUUAAUAUUGCUGCUAUUAGUGUUUACAUAUUGUUAAUGAAGAGAUGAUGCAAUCAUUGUUGCCUUUAAAUGUACGAGUGAAUGCAUCUAAAAAUUGAUUUCUGACUUGUAUUGUGCUUUUGAUUCUUCUCACAACAUUCAAUAUUAAAACCUUUCAUGACAGAUGUAGUUUCAGAGCUUACCAGGAAAACAGAGAUCACAGUGCACUACAAAUUGAGUUCACGACAACAAGCUUUUUAUCGAGCUAUCAAGAACAAGAUAUCUCUUUCUGAGUUAUUUGACAACAAUCGUGGACAACUUAAUGACAAAAAACUCCUUAAUUUAAUGAAUAUUGUCAUUCAGCUAAGGAAGGUCUGUAAUCAUCCAGAGUUAUUCGAAAGGAGUGAGGGAAGCACAUAUCUCUACUUUGGUGAGAUUCCCAUCGCCCUUUUGCCUGCCCCCUUUGGGGAAUUGGAGGAUGUACACUACUCAGGAAGUUGCAAUCCUAUAAUAUUCAAGGUUCUUUUUAUAGCUGCUUUCUUUUAAUAUACAUAACUAUGCAAAAUCUCUUGUAUUGUUAUUAUUCUUUUCAAAUAACCUCCAUCCCCCACAUGUCCUCACCCAUCUCCCCUGUAUGUAGUUUAACAUAAAAUAAAAUAAAAAUGAAAAUGAAUAGCAUUGUAGAACUUAUUUCCAUAUCACCUUACAUAUAUGUCACGUUUCCACUACUUUUUGGUUGCUGGUUUUUUACAAGUCCUGAGGAAGGCUGGGAAACACAUUAUUAGUUCCCACAGAAGGCUGAACAAUUCAUCUUUAAAAGCCACACUCCCACCAGCUUGAUGCUUGUUCAUAUUUGUGACAGAUCUUAGCCUCCGAUUUUGUGAUAGGGUCGGGGACGAGGCACUUGUUGCCAUUGGUAAGUGUAACUCCCUACAGUAUCUAAACGUUAGUGGCUGUCAUCAAAUUGGUGAUGUUGGAAUAAUGGCCAUUGCAAGAGGUUGUCCUCAACUUACCUACCUAGACGUGAGUGUUCUCCAGGAUUCUGAUUAGACCACAUUCAAGGGGUGUUUAAUUACAAGUAAUUUAGUUGCUGCUGCUGUUGACAAUUUGUGGUAUCUAAAAAAUGGAAUACAUACUGUAGUCUUGAAAAAACUUUCAGAAAAUGGAUCUUGCAGGCAAAGGACACCAAGUGAAUUAGAUAGAGAGGUUAAGAACUUGAGGGUGGCAUUUACUGACCUGUUUUUGAAGCAUAACACUUUCAAAGAAACUGCAAAA